UCUGCAUUGAUGGAAACCAUGAGAGCACCAUCUGGUACAACCUGUGCAUGGGGCCAGUGAAAUGAACGGCAGCCACUGGAGGAUGCCCAUAUUUCAUUAGCUGCACUCGUGCUGCCUUCAGUCUCAUGCCAUUUCCAGUCCCUCCAGAUUUCACUUCAGGGAGUUCAAGGGCUUCUGAAGGCUGCCUAAAUACAGACUUCCUGUCCACAACACUGGUGACAUCUGAAAAACUGUCUCCGCUGAGGGUGAUACAAUUGACAUCAAGUUGUCAUCGGAAUCACAAGAAUCCUAAUUGAAACAUCUGGAAAAACCACAAUGAUAAAAAGUAUUUCAGAAAAAAAUUUUUAGUAACUGAAAAUCAACCAGAAAACCAAAACAAACAAACAACAACAACAACAAAACGUGCUUUAAUUUAAACCCCGGCUUAAAAAAGUUAUUUCCAAACGGUGUGAGCCUUCUUCUCGUACUGGGAAGCCUGAAAAAGUCAGUUGUUGUGUCUAAAUCCCAAAAGGGAGAAGGUAUAAUGAGG
rnacentral:lncRNA from 1 species